AGAUAGGAACUAAAAAACAAAAGAUACUGCUAUAUUGCUUCUUGCAAUUCUUUGUAUGACAAAACCUCAUGCAUUUAGUUAGUUUGUUUUUUUAUCUCCUUCUUCCUAUCACAAACAUAUUCUCAUUUAAAACUGCAGGAAAUCGAGAGGUGUCAUAUGUCUUUCUGGUGACAUUUGUCACUGAGAAAAGCGGAGCGAUCAGGCCUGGGUGCUUUGGCUGGAGGCCCUGCCAUCCAUCAUGGAGACCGGGUGGAAUUUGAUUGAAUGCCGUGGACAACACACUCCAAGCCAAUAGCACAAGUUGCCAUCAAGUGUGGGAUUUACCAAGGAGAUGUUCUGUGCCCGCCACUGUUCUGCAUACACCUGAAUCCCCUCAGCCAGAUCAUUAACAAGACUGGCUACGGAUACUGACUAUGGAAUGGAGCGAUCAUUAGCCACCUCCACUACAUAGAUGACAUCAUGUUGUAUGUCAUGCGUGAAUGAGACAUUGAUUCACUGAUCUAUAUCACUAAGAUCUACAUCAGCGAUUUCAGAAUUCAAUUCAAUUUUAUUUAUACAGCGCCAAAUCACAACAACAAUCGCCUCAAGGCACUUUAUAUUCUAAAGUGUAUGUCCAAAUCUCCCAAGUAGUGUUGUCAGAUAGUAACAAGGACAGGAUAGGCAGUCAGAAUUGAAAUUGCACUACAAAAAGGCAACAUUACAUAUAAAUAGGUCAGCUACAAGUACCUAGGAACCUAACAAGCAAAUGGGAACUAUGAAGAGGCCGCUAGGAAAGCAGAAAGUUCCAAAUACCUGCAGAGAGUUAGGCAAGUCCUGAGGAGUCAGAAGAUCUGGGAAAUCAACACCUACACUGAAAUCAAGACAAGGAAGUUCCUUAGCCCAAGUCCAACAAUGACAGUCCCUGCCGGGCGACCUGCCAUGCAUGUUUGUUGUGUUUUCUUUCCGUACCUUGUUUCCGCCUGUGUGGCAGUGUCCGGGGUUUCCGGAGACGUCAGGCCCAGAGAGUUUCCCACCGUUAAGCCAGCCACACCUGAAGGUUAAUCACACUCACCUGUUGCUGAUCAGCCACAUCAGAAGACCUACUUAACAGAGGAGCUGAGUUUCAGUCAGCGCUGGAUUGUUGUGAGAAAUCAGUCCAUUUCCAGCUUGCGUGUGACAAUGUCUUGGUUUGAGUCAACUGUGUGCACUAACUGCAGCCUGACGUUGUUUCCAGAGUGUUGGGGAAACGAGUGGAGGGAGUGGAGCGUGUGUUUUUUACAUAGGCACCAAAAGGAUAAGGAUAAUCACCACGGACACUGGAGAAGUCACAGCACGGGAGCGGGGAGGCGUCCUGCAUUUGGGUCCUGCUUUCACAUCUCUGACACCAGCACCCUGAGCCCUUAUGCUAAGUGCAAGGAAGGAGGCCAAUGACUAAUGGAGUCAUGGUGGCAUCAUUCAGGUAAAGAUGACUUGGACUGACAGGCCUGCUGAGGACACACUGGGACAGUCUCACAUGCAGAAAUACACGUGCACACACACACACACACAUAUAUACUCACACAUGCAUGCAUGCACGCACACACACAGACACACACACAGACACACAUACACUUUUUACAUGCCUCUUAAGCAUCACCUGUAAAGAGUGAUUUCUCUUGACUUAAAAAAAACUGUAUAUAUCCAUUUAUUUUUUAGUUUUAUUUUAAGAAUGAUAAACUGUUUUGAUUAAAAUCUCUGCUAAAGUGUAAGCUGUGAUUUAAAAAGAGACUGCAAAAUCACUUUAUCAUUAGGAAAAAGUUCACAAUACUUCUUUUAGGCUUCGUUGUGUACAACUGACUUUUGUCAAACUAUUCUCAAUUGUACACUCAAUUUAUACAAGAGUCUUUAGCUGUUGUGUAAAUGGAGUUAUUUUGGUAUUGUAGUGACAAA